rnacentral:rRNA from 1 species
UCCUACGGGGCGCAGCAGUAGGGAAUUUUCGUCAAUGGGCGCAAGCCUGAACGAGCAAUGCCGCGUGAACGAGGAAGGUCUUCGGAUCGUAAAGUUCUGUUGAAGGGGAAAAAGAGCGGAGAGAGGAAAUGGUCUCCGAUUGAUAUUACCCUUCGAGGAAGUCACGGCUAACUACGUGCCAGCAGCCGCGGUAAUCCGUAGGUGGCGAGCGUUAUCCGGAAUGAUUGGGCGUAAAGGGUGCGUAGGCGGCCUGCUAAGUCUGGAGUGAAAGGUACCGGCUCAACCGGUACCGGCUCUGGAAACUG